GACAGGCGUAAUGGCCCAUACCUGUGGUCCUUGCUGUUAGGAAGGCUAAGGCUGGUGGAUUUCUUGAGUGGGGAGCUCUGAGCCAUGGUAGGGCUAAAGCCAGUCAGAUGUCCACAGUAAGUCUGACAUAAAUAUGGUGGGCUCCCAGGAGCGGAAAGCUACCAGGCUGCCUAAGGAGGGAUAAACUGGCCCAGGCUGGAAAAAUAGAGCAAGUUAAAGUUUCCGUGGCAUGUCACAUUGGGAUCAGACUAUGGUAGCUGCUGCAUUUCCUGCUUGGGCAAGGUAGAGACAGUCUCA
rnacentral:SRP_RNA from 1 species